GACGGAAAGACCCCGUGCACCUUUACUACAGCUUGACAGUGGUAUUAGCGAUUAUUUGUGUAGGAUAGGCGGGAGUCUAUGAAACCAAGGCGCCAGCUUUGGUGGAGACAUCCUUGAAAUACCGCCCUGAUAAUUGUUGAUAUCUAACCGCGGCCCAUGAACCUGGGUCCGGGACCCUGUCUGGUGGGUAGUUUGACUGGGGCGGU
rnacentral:rRNA from 1 species